rnacentral:rRNA from 1 species
UACGUAGGGGGCGAGCGUUGUCCGGAUUUAUUGGGCGUAAAGAGCUCGUAGGCGGUUGAUUAAGUCGAAUGUGAAAGCCCCCGGCUCAACUGGGGAGGGUCACGCGAUACUGAUCGACUCGAAGGCAGGAGAGGGAAGUGGAAUUCCCGGUGUAGUGGUGAAAUGCGUAGAUAUCGGGAGGAACACCAGUGGCGAAGGCGACUUCCUGGCCUGUUCUUGACGCUGAGGCGCGAAAGCUAGGGGAGCAAACGGG